GGGGCUAUAGCUCAGCUUGGUAGAGCGUCUGAAUGGCAUUCAGAAGGUCAGCGGUUCGACCCCGCUUAGCUCCACCA
rnacentral:tRNA from 1 species